CCUACGGGAGGCAGCAGUGGGGAAUAUUGCACAAUGGGGGGAACCCUGAUGCAGCGACGCCGCGUGGGUGAAGGAGUAUUUCGGUAUGUAAAGCCCUAUCAGCAGGGAAGAACAAUGACGGUACCUGACUAAGAAGCACCGGCUAAAUACGUGCCAGCAGCCGCGGUAAUACGUAUGGUGCAAGCGUUAUCCGGAUUUACUGGGUGUAAAGGGAGCGCAGGCGGCGCGUUAAGCCUGGUGUGAAAGUCCGCGGCCCAACCGCGGGACUGCAUUGGGAACUGGCGCGCUGGAGUGCCGUAGGGGUAGGCGGAAUUCCUAGUGUAGCGGUGAAAUGCGUAGAUAUUAGGAGGAACACCAGUGGCGAAGGCGGCCUACUGGACGGUGACUGACGCUGAGGCUCGAAAGCGUGGGGAGCAAACAGGAUUAGAUACCAUUGUAGUC
rnacentral:rRNA from 1 species